rnacentral:rRNA from 1 species
UACGUAGGGAGCAAGCGUUGUCCGGAAUCAUUGGGCGUAAAGCGCGCGUAGGUGGCCUCAUAAGUCCGCUGUGAAAGUCAAAGGCUCAACCUUUGAAAGCCGGUGGAUACUGUGAGGCUAGAGUACGGAAGAGGCGAGUGGAAUUCCUGGUGUAGCGGUGGAAUGCGCAGAUAUCAGGAGGAACACCGGUGGCGAAGGCGGUUCUCUGGGAAUGACCUGACGCUGAGGAGCGAAAGUGUGGGGAGCGAACAGG